CCAGACUCCUACGGGAGGCAGCCGUGGGGACUCUUGCACAAUGGGGGACCCCAUGAUGCAGCGACGCCGCGUGCGUGACGAAGUAUUUCGGUAUGUAAAGCUCUAUCAGCAGGGCAGACAAUGACGGUACCUGACUAAGAAGCCCCGGCUAACUACGUGCCAGCAGCCGCGGUCCUACGUAGGGGGCAAGCGUUAUCCGGAUUUACUGGGGGGCACGGGAGCGGAGACGGCAGUGCAAGUCUGGAGUGAAAGGCUGGGGCUCAACCCCCGGACUGCUCGGGAAGCUGGACGGCGGGAGGGCGGGAGAGGUAAGGGGAAUUCCUAGGGGAGCGGUGAAAUGCGGAGAGAUGAGGAGGAACACCAGUGGCGAAGGCGGCGUACUGGACGGGAACUGACGGGGAGGCGCGAAAGCGGGGGUAGCAAACAGGAGGAGAUACCCGCGGAAC
rnacentral:rRNA from 1 species